rnacentral:rRNA from 1 species
UACGGGGGGGCAAGCGUUGUUCGGAAUUACUGGGCGUAAAGGGCUCGUAGGCGGCCAACUAAGUCAGACGUGAAAUCCCUCGGCUUAACCGGGGAACUGCAUCUGAUACUGGAUGGCUUGAGUUUGGGAGAGGGAUGCGGAAUUCCAGGUGUAGCGGUGAAAUGCGUAGAUAUCUGGAGGAACACCGGUGGCGAAGGCGGCAUCCUGGACCAACACUGACGCUGAGGAGCGAAAGCCAGGGGAGCAAACGGG